CUAAGGAAACAUCUUCAUUGGCAUACUUGUGAAGAACAUGCCUGAGAAUUCCACAAUUAUGAAGCAAUGCAAAUGUGUGAUAACUUGUGAGGUCGCUAAAUCCUUCGAGAUGGCAUACAACUGGCCUGUUGCAUGGCGGAAAUACUUGUUACCUGCCUCACCGAACUUCCAGUGUUCAGGCCCCGAUUUCAUGCAUCCGAUGUAAACCCGUCGUUUCGAUCGAUGUCUGACUAGCGUUUCUCCUAGUGUGGCUGAGACCAAAUGCAAGA